AGGCGCGAAAACUUUACACUGCGGGAAACCGCGAUAAGGGAACCCCGAGUGCCAGCACCAAGUGCUGGCUGUCCAGAUGACUAAAACUCAUCUGAUAGCAAGGGCCGGGCAAGACCGGUGCCAGCCGCCGCGGUAACACCGGCGGCCCGAGUGGUAACCGUCUUUAUUGGGUCUAAAGGGUCCGUAGCCGGUCUGAAAAGUCUUCUGGGAAAUCUGGCAGCUUAACUGUCAGGCUUCCAGGAGAUACUGUCAGACUUGGGACCGGGAGAGGUAAGGGGUACUCCAGGGGUAGGAGUGAAAUCUUGUAAUCCUUGGGGGACCAUCGGUGGCGAAGGCGCCUUACCAGAACGGGUCCGACGGUGAGGGACGAAAGCUAGGGGAGCAAACCGGAUUAGAUACCCGGGUAGUCCUAGCCGUAAACGAUGCUCGCUAGGUGUCUGGCACGGUGCGUCCGUGUCUGGUGCCGCAGGGAAGCCGUGAAGCGAGCCACCUGGGAAGUACGGUCGCAAGGCUGAAACUUAAAGGAAUUGGCGGGGGAGCACUACAACGGGUGGAGCCUGCGGUUUAAUUGGAUUCAACGCCGGAAAUCUCACCGGGUGCGACAGCAAUAUGUAGGUCAGGCUGAAGGUCUUACCUGAAUCGCUGAGAGGAGGUGCAUGGCCGUCGUCAGUUCGUACUGUGAAGCAU
rnacentral:rRNA from 1 species